AGGCCUAACACAUGCAAGUCGAACGGCUCUUCGGAGCAGUGGCGGACGGGUGAGUAACGCGUGGGAACGUGCCCUUUGGUUCGGAACAACACAGGGAAACUUGUGCUAAUACCGGAUGAGCCCUUCGGGGGAAAGAUUUAUCGCCAUUGGAGCGGCCCGCCGUGGAUUAGGUAGUUGGUGGGGUAAAGGCCCACCAAGCCGACGAUCCAUAGCUGGUCUGAGAGGAUGAUCAGCCACACUGGGACUGAGACACGGCCCAGACUCCUACGGGAGGCAGCAGUGGGGAAUCUUGCGCAAUGGGCGAAAGCCUGACGCAGCCAUGCCGCGUGAAUGAUGAAGGUCUUAGGAUUGUAAAAUUCUUUCACCGGGGAAGAUAAUGACGGUACCCGGAGAAGAAGCCCCGGCUAACUUCGUGCCAGCAGCCGCGGUAAUACGAAGGGGGCUAGCGUUGCUCGGAAUUACUGGGCGUAAAGGGCGCGUAGGCGGACAGUUUAGUCAGAGGUAAAAGCCCAGGGCUCAACCUUGGAACUGCCUUUGAUACUGGCUGUCUUGAGU
rnacentral:rRNA from 1 species